AGACGACCUCAGUUCGGGCGAGAUCACCCGCCGAACUUAAGCAUAUUACUAAGCGGAGGAAAAGAAACUAACAAGGAUUCCCUUAGUAGCGGCGAGCGAACAGGGAGGAGCCCAGCGCCGAAUCCCACGGUCCGAGAGGGCCGAUCGGGAAAUGUGGCGUUAAGGAGGGUCCGCAAGUCCCGACGUCGCGAUAGCGGCGCGUCCAAGUCCUUCUUGAAAGAGGCCGAACCACCCGCAGAGGGUGCCAGGCCCGUAGGACCGCCGCCCGGCGUCGGGUCGGACCUCUCCCUAGAGUCGGGUUGCUCGGGAUUGCAGCCCUAAGCAGGUGGUAAACUCCAUCUAAGGCUAAAUAUGACCACGAGACCGAUAGCGAACAAGUACCGCGAGGGAAAGUUGAAAAGAACUUUGAAGAGAGAGUUCAAGAGUACGUGAAACCGUUCGGGGGUAAACCUGAGAAACCCGAAAGAUCGAAAGCCGAGAUACAGCGUCCGUCGUCGCGUUCGCGAUGCGGCGACGGCGUGCACUUCUCGGCCGGUAGGACGUCGCGACCCGUUGGGAGUCGCCGACGCUUUAGGGGGGCCUGCGGGAAGCUCGAGGCGGCGCGGCGGGACUCGUUCCCGUCGUCUUUGCGUUGCCCCUCGAACCCGUCGUGCCUUCGCAAUCGGCGUUCGGCGCGCCCGACGCGACAUUCACAUACAGACCGAUGCGUUCGUUCGGCGGUGCGCCUUUUCGGCGCGCCCGACCUCGUGUCCGCCGACGCCCCUCCUAACGGAGGCGGCGCGCGGGGGCGGGAUAUCUCGGGCGUGUGGUUACGACACACCGACGCCCGAUCGUCUGCGACGCUUUUGCUUUGGGCGUUUUCAGGACCCGUCUUGAAACACGGACCAAGGAGUCCAACGUGCGCGCGAGUCAAUGGGAGCAAACUAUUAAACCCAAAGGCGAAGCGAAAGCGAAGGACGACCGGGUGGCGGCCUCCCCCUCACGGGGGACGGUCGUCGUCCCGCGUCGUCCGUCGGGAGGAUGGGCACGCCGGCUCGACCGAGCGGCCCCGCACUCCCGGGGCGUCUCCGUCAGGCACCGUCGCGCUCGGCGUUCGCUCGUCGACGCGUCAGUGCCGGAGGCGCACCUAUAGCGCGCUCGCUGGGACCCGAAAGAUGGUGAACUAUGCCUGGUCAGGACGAAGUCAGGGGAAACCCUGAUGGAGGUCCGCAGCGAUUCUGACGUGCAAAUCGAUCGUCAGAACUGGGUAUAGGGGCGAAAGACCAAUCGAACCGUCUAGUAGCUGGUUCCCUCCGAAGUUUCCCUUAGGAUAGCUGGCGCUCGCUCUCAAUGCGAUAGAGUCUCAUGCGGUAAAGCGAAUGAUUAGAGCGAAUCGGGGUCGAAACGACCUCAACCUAUUCUCAAACUUUAAAUGUGUGAGAUCUCCGGCUUGCCCGACACACGAAGCCGCGAGAUCGGAUCUAGAGUGCCAAGUGGGCCAUUUUUGGUAAGCAGAACUGGCGCUGUGGGAUGAACCAAACGCGAAGUUAAAGCGCCCAAAUCGACGCUCAUUGGAAACCAGAAAAGGCGUUGGUAACUCAGGACAGCAGGACGGUGACCAUGGAGGUCGGAAUCCGCUAAGGAGUGUGUAACAACUCACCUGCCGAAGUUACCAGCCCUGAAAAUGGAUGGCGCUUAAGCGUCGUGCUUAUACUUCGCCGUUGGCGGCAAGCGCGGUCGCACCGCCCCCUCGGGGACGGCGCGGCCCGAAGAGAGGCCCCGACGAGUAGGGGGGUCGCGACGGUGAGCGCAGAAGGACCGGGCGUGAGCCCGUCUGGAGCCGCCGUCGGCGCAGAUCUUGGUGGUAGUAGCAAAUACUUCAGCGAGCACCUGGAGGACUGACGUGGAGAAGGGUUUCGUGUGAACAGCAGUUGCACACGAGUCAGUCGAUCCUAAGCCGCUAGGCGAAAGCCGACGUCGAUGAGGCGCAGACGCGAGAGAUCAACGACGAUCGCGUUGUCGUUAACGUCGCGUUUCUGUUUGCGCCGCCCGGCACCCUCCGCACGUACGCGCGCCGCGUUUGUGGCACGUUACGCGGGGUAAGGGUGGUGCGGCAGCGCUGGAGAUAUGGAACGCGCUACCUACGACGACCGAUCAAGUGUUGUGUGUAUCAUGUCGCGUCUCACGGGCGAAAGGGAAUGCGGUUCCUAUUCCGCAACCCGGCAACGGAACCGCCACUAUUCGGGCCCUCAUCUGAGAGUUCGUCUGGGUAACCUAAAACGACCCGGAGACGCCGUCGGGAGGUCCGGGAAGAGUUUUCUUUUCUGCAUGAGCGUUCGAGAUCCAUGGAAGCCCAUAGCGGGGAGAUAUGGUUCGGAACGCGAAGAGCACCGCAAUUGCCGCGGUGUCCGGAUCGUCCCCUCGGACCUUGAAAAUCCGGGAGAGGGCUACGAGGAGCGACCGUGCCGGCUCGUACCCAUAUCCGCAGCCGGUCUCCAAGGUGAAUAGCCUCUAGUCGAUA
rnacentral:rRNA from 1 species